UACGUAGGGACCAAGCGUUGUUCGGAUUUACUGGGCGUAAAGGGCGCGUAGGCGGCAAUUCAAGUCAUCUGUGAAAUCUCCGGGCUUAACUCGGAACGGUCAGAUGAUACUGCUUUGCUCGAGUGCGGAAGGGGCAAUCGGAAUUCUUGGUGUAGCGGUGAAAUGCGUAGAUAUCGAGAGGAACACCUGCGGCGAAGGCGGGUUGCUGGGCUGAUACUGACGCUGAGGCGCGAAAGCCAGGGGAGCGAACGGG
rnacentral:rRNA from 1 species